rnacentral:rRNA from 1 species
CCGGCGACCGGCGCACGGGUGAGUAACGCGUAUGCAACCUGCCCGUUUCAGCGGGAUAACCCGGAGAAAUCCGGCCUAAUACCGCAUGUGGCCGAGGGGAGGCAUCUUCUUUCGGCCAAAGGAGGCGACUCCGGAGACGGAUGGGCAUGCGCGACAUUAGCUAGUUGGCGGGGUAACGGCCCACCAAGGCGACGAUGUCUAGGGGUUCUGAGAGGAAGGUCCCCCACACUGGUACUGAGACACGGACCAGACUCCUACGGAAGGCAGCAG